UUUUUUUUUUGUUUAAAUCACUGCCGUGUGCCAGUUUUUAGGGAGAAACAGUGAGGCCGGCAGGCUGGUGUCCAGAGUAAGCGCGCCAUCCGGCAGGACAUGCAUGCGCUUCACUUUUUGGGGGGGCAGAGGAGAGGAGGGGUGCCCCCAGGGAAGAAGCCGCAGGCCCCUGGAUGGUACCCAAGCGCUCCCAAACUCCAACUGCGUCACACACCCAGUGACUGACACGGACAUUAUUCCUCCUGCUUGGCUUUCAGCGGCUGGCUUUUCCAAAAUGAAGUCAUUCUCUGGAGACUGGGAGAGCAGCGGGCACAGCAACUGGGCCAGAGUCACACGCUGCAAAUUCAUGCCGCAGUUUAUUCACUGACAGGAACUGGAAGCGACAGGACGGACCACACUGCAGUUUCCGUCCCAAUCAGCAGUAUUCAGGAGUGAAACACUCCGUUUCUUCAUAAAUCUGCAGGCUCCAGCGUUUAAGGCCGUCUGCGCAGUCGAGGCCUGUGGAAAGCAAACGCAGCCGAGAGCGAGCCGCCCCCAUAUCUGGCUCCCCUUCCCCGGCUGCUCCCUGCAAAUACGUUUUUUUUUGUCUGUAGGACUGAUGUAAAUAAUUGUAUUUAAUUCUAAUUGCAAAUAACGAGGGCCUGGAAAAUAGACAGGCCCCAUGCACCCGCAAAGACAUCCUGAAUGGGAGGAAAGCAGGAGGUGCAGCUCCUCAGGGUUUGCCAAGAGGACGGAGAUCAUCUGCCCCGAAAUAGCAGCAGUGUGUAACCAAGCAACACGCUAUACAGAAGGCUGGCACUCGACUUUAUUGCGUAUAACUACCAGCUAAAAUGAAAUAAAACGUGUUCAUUAUACAAAUACCCCCACUGCCUCAAAUUCAUACCUACUGAAACAUUUUUUUAAAAAAACCACUAUUUCAGGAUUCAUGUUUUCCAUUUUAAAAAGCAAAUCCAUUUGUGAUUAAUUAUUUCCUAUACAUCUAUUACUUUGGCAUUGAUUUAACUGCAAAUAAUAAAGCAGACUGGGACCUCU